CAGUGCAGGUGUAUGUCAUUAUAUAACUGACAGACCGCAGCCCCAGCAACUGCUCAAGAGCUCAGGAGCAGGUCACAUGACCAGUCAGGUGGUUAGUCCAGUGACAGUUGGGAGAGGUAGUUGAUGGAGAGCUCGCUGAGGGGACGGAGAGAGGAGUGCUGGUGCUGCGUACUCGGUGCGGCAUUAACAGCUGUGGUAACCGCUCCGUACCUGCAUCUGAUGACAAAGUUAAGCUGAAUUACCCCGAACAGACUCCGGUGGUCCCGCUGAGCUUGGAGAGUGAGUCCAGUGUGGAGAUCCUUAUCCGCGCUCCAGAGAAGAUGUCAUCGCUGACGCUGAUGACGGGGGCGGUAGCGGAUCCCUCCCUCUGACUGCCUGCUGUAAGAUACUUCUAGCGGGAACGCCUUCAGGAAAGUGUCUUGGAGGUGACUGACAUUCAUAGAUGGAGACUCUGCCCGACAGUGAGCAAUUGUUCCUGUGUAUUGUGAAAAGCAAACCAAUUUGUGAAAUUUACAUUUGUUGUAAUACUUGUUGAAAGAGAAGGGGCAUCUUUGAACCAUAUUAAUAAAUAAAUUGAGUUGUUGAUGAAAACCA